rnacentral:rRNA from 1 species
UGCCAGCCGCCGCGGUAAUACAUAGGGUGCAAGCGUUAAUCGGAGUUAUUGGGCGUAAAGGGCGCGUAGGCGGAAGCGCAAGUUAGAUGUGAAAGCCCUGGGCUUAACCUGGGAAUUGCAUUUAAAACUGCGCAUCUAGAGUAGAGUAGAGGUAAGCGGAAUUUCCGGUGUAGCGGUGAAAUGCGUAGAUAUCGGAAGGAACACCAGUGGCGAAGGCGGCUUACUGGACUCAUACUGACGCUGAGGCGCGAAAGCGUGGGUAGCGAACAGGAUUAGAUA